ACGCUGGCGGCGUGCCUAAUACAUGCAAGUCGAACGCUGGAGAUCUAGCUUGCUAGAUCGAAGGAGUGGCGAACGGGUGAGUAAUACAUAAGCAACCUACCCACGAAGACUGGGAUAAUCUCUGGAAACGGGGACUAAUACCGGAUAGGUAAUCGGAAGGCAUCUUCUGGUUAUUAAAGGUUAAAAACACUGGUGGAUGGGCUUAUGGCGCAUUAGUUAGUUGGUGAGGUAACGGCCCACCAAGACGAUGAUGCGUAGCCGGCCUGAGAGGGUGAACGGCCACAUUGGGACUGAGACACGGCCCAGACUCCUACGGGAGGCAGCAGUAGGGAAUUUUCGGCAAUGGGGGAAACCCUGACCGAGCAACGCCGCGUGAGUGAUGACGGCCUUCGGGUUGUAAAGCUCCGUUGUAAGGGAAGAACGGUAGAUAGAGAAUAUCUAAGUGACGGUACCUUACCAGAGAGCCACGGCUAACUACGUGCCAGCAGCCGCGGUAAUACGUAGGUGGCGAGCGUUAUCCGAAAUUAUUGGGCGUAAAGGGUGCGUAGGCGGCCUGUUAAGUAAGUGGUUAAAUUGUUGGGCUCAACCCAAUCCAGCCACUUAAACUGGCAGGCUAGAGUAUUGGAGAGGCAAGUGGAAUUCCAUGUGUAGCGGUAAAAUGCGUAGAUAUAUGGAGGAACACCAGUGGCGAAGGCGGCUUGCUAGCCAAAGACUGACGCUCAUGCACGAAAGCGUGGGGAGCAAAUAGGAUUAGAUACCCUAGUAGUCCACGCCGUAAACGAUGAAUACUAAGUAUUGGGGAAACUCAGUGCUGCAGCUAACGCAAUAAGUAUUCCGCCUGUGGAGUAUGCACGCAAGUGUGAAACAUAAAGGAAUUGACGGGGGCCCGCACAAGCGGUGGAGUAUG
rnacentral:rRNA from 1 species